ACUGCAAGAUGCAUUUGUGAAUAAGUCGGCAAAUAACGCUACAUAUUGUGAGAAGAACAUGCAACAUGCCAAAGAAAAGAAGAAAUAAAUUAGUCCUGUAAUAAACCCACACAUAUGUGCACUGUUUUGAAGCACAGCUGUUAGAUCGAAGCACACUUGUGUGUUGAAUGAGAGGCUUUGGUUAAAGGGACUGUCUACCGCAUGGAACUUAUCUUUUGAUUGUGGUGUGAAUGAAAAGGACUUUCGUUUGCGUUGAGUAAUUUAUUUAUGUUCAGUUAGAGCAUGUGGAAAAGUGGCGCUGCCUUUGUGCAAACGAAGGGAGUGGUGCAUCGAUGGGUCCUCUUGAUAAUGGUGAUGUGCAACAGGAGUGUUGCGAGGGUCGCUGUCUUUUUCAGGACGUCAAAAAUGCGUUGCUCUUUUAAGGUGGGCCGAUGGCGCCGCAACACCAGUGUAGGCAUUUGUUAACACAAUGUGCCUGCUUGACCGUCACACAAAAUGCUUGGGUUGACUACUGAGACUGCACCUGUUGGAAACACGUGAGAUUAUAUGUGAAAAAGAAAAAAAAAAUUUCAACAAAAACUUAACAAUUACGACCAACUACGUGCUGAAGGCAGCUAUUAGAGUCAUAAUUUUAGUGUUUUACACAAAGUAACCAUUCCAGCAGAAAGCCGAUGCACUUUCAGUUUCUUAUCUAUACUGGCAUUGCAUUGCCCUGCCGGUAAUGAUUGCCAUCCAGCAAUCAGUGUUGUGGGCAUCCAUACACAGCUUUAAGAGAAGACUACGCUGAUAAAACAAUUUUGUUUUUAGAUUUCUGCUCUCUUUCCAGAAGAAGAAUAAAACAUUUAUUUGUGGUGAUGCUUUGUCCUUCCAGAAAAACCACUGCGUGUUUAAACAUUUUGCAUGGUUGACUUUUUAUUGUGCUGCAAUAUAAAAGGUCAUUGAAAAAUGGUAGACAGUCCCUGAAGAUUGUGUUCAUUCUUUGAUUGAGGUGUGAGGGGGUCAGGGUCAAUGUUAAAUGCUUGAAUAUUUAGAAUAGAACUGGUGCUGUACAGUCCGUAGUCUGUUGAAAGCAGUUUACCAAAGUGGGGAAUAAAGGAGAUGGCAUACAUUUGAUAUUCGGACAGUUUAGCAAUGUACUGUAGUAUUGCACUGUCCAGCUUUUAUUACUCUAUGUAAUAAUGUUGUUCAUCUAAGUAAUCAAGAGAAAUAAGCCUUAAUUUUUGGAAUAAGUGCUCACUGACCCAGAUGAGGUUUGCUAGGAUGGGAAUUGCUUGCUUCUGUAAAACCUGCUACCUAGCGAUGCUCAGUGCUAGAUAAGUGCGUGCCAUGUGAUUGCAAAAUCUUAAGUUGUAAAAAAGUAGGGUGAAUUUUUGGGGCAGGAAUUAUCUCAAAUUUAUUAGUAUGCUGCAUAUCAUGCAAAUCCUGUGACAUGAAAAUAUGUAAAUUUGAAA